AGCAGUGCGGAAGGACAGAGGGAGAAGCAGGCUCCCGGCUGAGCAGGGAACCCAACACAGGACUGGAUCCCAGGACCCUGGGAUGGUGAUCCGAGCUGAAGGCAGACGCUUCACUGACCAAGCCCCCCAGCACCCCGACAGGUGUAUCUUCUCAACAAUUUGGAAGGCCAGCCUCGAUACUUACACAAGGCUGCUCAGCAACGAGCAGUUUGUGGACGGGCUGUAGCUAGGGGCCAGCCACACCUCGAGGAGCUCUAGAAGGAGUCAGCGUAGGCUCUAGAAAGCAGAGGCCUCUGCCGCUGUGUUGUCUACGGGAGGAGACCUCCCCUCCGUAGGCGCGGACUACGGGGCGGUGCCGGCGGGGGCUCUAGAUCAACCCCUUCUUGCCGAUGUUAAGAUAAAAAGAGAUGAAUGUAAAUGUCAUGCUAAUUUCUGUUAUUUUAAACAAAUAAAAACCCAAAAUAUAUGUUUUUUGAAA